UACGAAGGGGGCUAGCGUUGCUCGGAAUUACUGGGCGUAAAGCGCACGUAGGCGGAUGUGUCAGUCAGGGGUGAAAUCCCGGGGCUCAACCUCGGAACUGCCUUUGAUACAGCACGUCUCGAGUCCGGAAGAGGUGGGUGGAAUUCCUAGUGUAGAGGUGAAAUUCGUAGAUAUUAGGAAGAACACCGGUGGCGAAGGCGGCCCACUGGUCCGGUACUGACGCUGAGGUGCGAAAGCGUGGGGAGCAAACAGG
rnacentral:rRNA from 1 species